rnacentral:rRNA from 1 species
UACGAAGGGUGCUAGCGUUGUUCGGAAUGACUGGGCGUAAAGGGUGCGUAGGUGGGUAAGUAAGUCAGUGGUGAAAUCUUCGAGCUUAACUCGGAAACUGCCAUUGAUACUAUUUAUCUUGAAUACUUUGGAGGUAAGCGGAAUAUGUCAUGUAGCGGUGAAAUGCUUAGAUAUGACAUAGAACACCAAUUGCGAAGGCAGCUUACUACACAGUUAUUGACACUGAGGCACGAAAGCGUGGGGAUCAAACAGG